UCACAGAAAUAUUUACAUCCUGUUAGAUCUGAUCUGUAGGUUACUUGUAGUUUGCAGACCACGUUGGGAUUUAUUUAUAUUUGUAAAUAUAU